rnacentral:rRNA from 1 species
AGUCACUGACAUUAGAUACCCCUGUAGUCCAGGGUGUAAACGCUGCAGACUUGGUGUUGGAGGCCCUUUGGGGCAUUCAGUGCCGGAGAGAAGUUGUUAAGUCUGCUACUUGGGGAGUACGUCCGCAAGGAUGAAACUUAAAGGAAUUGGCGGGGAGCACCGCAACGGGAGGAGCGUGCGGUUUAAUUGGACUCAACGCCGGAAAUCUCACCGGAUAGGACAGACAUAUGAUAGUCGGGCUGAAGACUCUACUUGAUGAUCUG